GACGAACGCUGGCGGCGUGCCUAACACAUGCAAGUCGAGCGGAAAGGCCUCUUCGGGGGUACUCGAGCGGCGAACGGGUGAGUAACACGUGAGUAAUCUGCCUCUGGCUUCGGGAUAGCCACCGGAAACGGUGAUUAAUACCGGAUACGACACAUCACUGCAUGGUGCGUGUGUGGAAAGUUUUUUCGGCCAGGGAUGUGCUCGCGGCCUAUCAGCUUGUUGGUGGGGUAAUGGCCUACCAAGGCUUCGACGGGUAGCCGGCCUGAGAGGGUGACCGGCCACACUGGGACUGAGACACGGCCCAGACUCCUACGGGAGGCAGCAGUGGGGAAUAUUGGACAAUGGGCGGAAGCCUGAUCCAGCAACGCCGCGUGAGGGAUGACGGCCUUCGGGUUGUAAACCUCUUUCAGCACAGACGAAGCGCAAGUGACGGUAUGUGCAGAAGAAGGACCGGCCAACUACGUGCCAGCCGCCGCCGUAAGAC
rnacentral:rRNA from 1 species